UCCUCGUUUAAGCGAGGCAGUCUGUCCAGAGUGCUCCAAACUCUCGUUUGAGUGGCAACAGGACACAAGGGUUGCGCUCGUUGCGGGACUUAACCCAACAUCUCACGACACGAGCUGACGACAGCCAUGCAGCACCUGUGCAAACGGGUCUUGCGACCUCGUCAGACUUUCAUCCUUCUACUAUUUGCAUGUCAAGGCCAGGUAAGGUUCUUCGCGUUGCAUCGAAUUAAGCCACAUACUCCACCGCUUGUGCAGGCCCCCGUCAAUUUCUUUGAGUUUUAAUCUUGCGACCGUACUUCCCAGGCGGCAUAUUUAUCGCGUUAGCUUCGCCACAAAAGGGGUCGAAUCCUUUUACAGCAAAUAUGCACCGUUUACAGCUAGGACUAC
rnacentral:misc_RNA from 1 species